AGUAGCGGCGAGCGAAGCGGGAAGAGCUCAAAUUUAUAAUCUGGCACCUUCGGUGUCCGAGUUGUAAUCUCUAGAAGUGUUUUCCGCGUUGGACCGCACACAAGUCUGUUGGAAUACAGCGGCAUAGUGGUGAAACCCCCGUAUAUGGUGCGGACGCCCAGCGCUUUGUGAUACACUUUCAAUGAGUCGAGUUGUUUGGGAAUGCAGCUCAAAUUGGGUGGUAAAUUCCAUCUAAAGCUAAAUAUUGGCGAGAGACCGAUAGCGAACAAGUACCGUGAGGGAAAGAUGAAAAGCACUUUGGAAAGAGAGUUAACAGUACGUGAAAUUGUUGGAAGGGAAACGCUUGAAGUCAGACUUGCUUGCCGGAGCUUGCUUCGGUUUGCAGGCCAGCAUCAGUUUUCCGGGGUGGAUAAUGACGGUUUGAAGGUAGCAGUCUCGGCUGUGUUAUAGCUUUCCGUUGGAUACAUCCUGGGGGACUGAGGAACGCAGCGUGCUUUUUGCGAAAGACUCGUCUUUUUCACGCUUAGGAUGCUGGUGGAAUGGCUUUAAACGACCCGUCUU
rnacentral:rRNA from 1 species